GGGGGGUGCAAGCGUUAAUCGGAGUUAUUGGGCGUAAAGGGUUCGUAGGUUGUUUGUUAAGUUAUGUGGGAAAUACCUAGGCUUAACCUAGGAAUGUCGGAUAAUACUGAUGAACUUGAGUAUAGUAGAGGGUAGUGGAAUUUCCGGUGUAGCGGUGAAAUGCGUAGAGAUCGGAAGGAACACCAGUGGCGAAGGCGGCUACCUGGACUAAUACUGACACUGAGGAACGAAAGCGUGGGGAGCAAACAGGAUUAGAUACCCUGGUAGUCCACGCUGUAAACGAUGUCAACUAGCUGUUGGGUAAAUGAAUUUACUUAGUGGCGCAGCUAACGCGAUAAGUUGACCGCCUGGGGAGUACGGUCGCAAGAUUA
rnacentral:rRNA from 1 species